CAAAAAAUAGUUUAAAAUAAUAAAAUAAUAGCAUUGGAAGUUAUAGAUUAAAUAUGUUUUUAUUUUUUGA
rnacentral:tRNA from 1 species